rnacentral:rRNA from 1 species
GGGUAAUUUUCCGCAAUGGGCGCAAGCCUGACGGAGCAAUACCGCGUGAGGGAGGAAGGCUCUUGGGUCGUAAACCUCUUUUAUCAGGGAAGAACACAAUGACGGUACCUGAGGAAUCAGCAUCGGCUAACUCCGUGCCAGCAGCCGCGGUAAUACGGAGGAUGCAAGCGUUAUCCGGAAUGAUUGGGCGUAAAGCGUCCGUAGGUGGUUAUGUAAGUCUGUGGUUAAAGCGUGGGGCUCAACCCCAUAAGGGCCAUGGAAACUACGCAACUAGAGUCAAGUAGGGGUAGAGGGCAUUCCCAGUGUAGCGGUGAAAUGCGUAGAGAUUGGGAAGAACACCGGUGGCGAAAGCGCUCUACUGGACUUAAACUGACACUGAGGGACGAAAGCUAGGGGAGCGAAAGGGAUUAGAUACCCCUGUAGUCCUAGCCGUAAACGAUGGAUACUAGGUGUUGCCCGUAUCGACCCGGGCAGUGCCGUAGCUAACGCGUUAAGUAUCC